rnacentral:rRNA from 1 species
GAGCUUCCCAUACGGGUUGAAGCAUGACCGUAAGGACAUGUGGACAGUAUGGGAGUGAGAAUGUUGGCAUGAGUAGCGAGAUGUGGGUGAGAAUCCCACAGGCCGUAAACCCAAGGUUUCCAGGGGAAGGUUCGUCCGCCCUGGGUUAGUCGGGACCUAAGCUGAGGCCGAAAGGCGUAGGUGAUGGACAACAGGUUGAUAUUCCUGUACUACCGAUAACCGUUUGAGAGAAGGGAUGACACAGUAGGAUAAGCUAAGCACACUGUUGGUUAUGUGUGCCCAAGCAUUGAGGCAGUCAAAGUAGGCAAAUCCGCUUUGAUAAUGCUGGGAUGUGAUGGGGAGCGAAAUUUAGUAGCGAAGUAGCUGAUUUCACACUGUCAAGAAAAGUCUCUAUCGAGGUUAAAGGUACCCGUACCGCAAACCGACACAGGUGGGUGAGGAGAGUAUCCUAAGGCCAGCGAGAGAACUGUUGUUAAGGAACUCGGCAAAAUGACCCCGUAACUUAGGGAUAAGGGGUGCCACCAUCAGGUGGCCGCAGAGAAUAGGCCCAAGCGACUGUUUACCAAAAACAUAGGUUUCUGCUAAGUCGCAAGACGAUGUAUAGGAGCUGACGCCUGCCCGGUGCUGGAAGGUUAAGGGGAUCUGUUAGAGCAAUCGAAGCAGUGAACUUAAGCCCCAGUAAACGGCGGCCGUAACUAUAACGGUCCUAAGGUAGCGAAAUUCCUUGUCGGGUAAGUUCCGACCCGCACGAAAGGCGUAACGAUUUGGGCACUGUCUCAACAACAGACUCGGUGAAAUUGUAAUUCCGGUGAAGAUGCCGGAUACCUGCGACAGGACGGAAAGACCCCAUGGAGCUUUACUGUAGCUUGACAUUGGGUCUUGGUACUACAUGUACAGGAUAGGUGGGAGGCUUUGAAACCAGGACGCCAGUUUUGGCGGAGCCAUCCUUGGGAUACCACCCUUGUAGUACUGGGACUCUAACCAUAGGCCAUGAAUCUGGUCUUGGGACACUGUCAGGUGGGCAGUUUGACUGGGGCGGUCGCCUCCCAAAAGGUAACGGAGGCGCUCAAAGGUUCUCUCAGUACGGUCGGAAAUCGUACGUAGAGUGUAAAGGCAAAAGAGAGCUUGAUUGCAAGACAUACAGGUCGAGCAAGGAUGAAAAUCGGACUUAGUGAUCCGGUGGUUCUGCGUGGAAGGGCCAUCGCUCAACGGAUAAAAGCUACCCUGGGGAUAACAGGCUUAUCUCCCCCAAGAGUCCACAUCGACGGGGAGGUUUGGCACCUCGAUGUCGGCUCAUCACAUCCUGGGGCUGUAGUAGGUCCCAAGGGUUGGGCUGUUCGCCCAUUAAAGUGGUACGCGAGCUGGGUUCAGAACGUCGUGAGACAGUUCGGUCCCUAUCCGUCGCAGGCGUAGGAAAUUUGAGAAGACCUGUCCUUAGUACGAGAGGACCGGGAUGGACGUACCUCUGGUGUACCAGUUGUCCUGCCAAGGGCAUGGCUGGGUAGCUAUGUACGGAAUGGAUAAGCGCUGAAAGCAUCUAAGCGCGAAGCCAACUUCAAGAUAAGAUUUCCCACCGCAAGGGUAAGACCCCAGAAAGACUAUCUGGUUGAUAGGUCGAAGGUGUAAGUGCAGCAAUGUAUUUAGCUUAUCGAUACUAAUAGGUCGAGGACUUGACCAA